GAUGAACGCUGGCGGCGUGCCUAAUACAUGCAAGUCGAGCGAACAGACGAGGAGCUUGUUCCUCUGACGUUAGCGGCGGAUGGGUGAGUAACACGUGGAUAACCCACCUAUAAGACUGGGAUAACUUCGGGAAACCGGAGCUAAUACCGGAUAAUAUAUUGAACCGCAUGGUUCAAUAGUGAAAGACGGUUUUGCUGUCACUUAUAGAUGGAUCCGCGCCGCAUUAGCUAGUUGGUAAGGUAACGGCUUACCAAGGCGACGAUGCGUAGCCGACCUGAGAGGGUGAUCGGCCACACUGGAACUGAGACACGGUCCAGACUCCUACGGGAGGCAGCAGUAGGGAAUCUUCCGCAAUGGGCGAAAGCCUGACGGAGCAACGCCGCGUGAGUGAUGAAGGUCUUCGGAUCGUAAAACUCUGUUAUUAGGGAAGAACAAAUGUGUAAGUAACUAUGCACGUCUUGACGGUACCUAAUCAGAAAGCCACGGCUAACUACGUG
rnacentral:rRNA from 1 species